rnacentral:rRNA from 1 species
UAAUACGUAGGAGGCAAGCGUUAUCCGGAUUUAUUGGGCGUAAAGAGGGCGUAGGCGGCUUUUCAAGUCGGAUGUAAAAUCUCCCGGCUCAACUGGGAGGGAUCAUUCGAUACUGUUGAGCUAGAGGACAGCAGAGGGAGAUGGAAUUCCCGGUGGAGUGGUGAUAUGCGUAGAUAUCGGGAGGAACACCAGUGGCGAAGGCGGUCUCCUGGGCUGUUCCUGACGCUGAGGCCCAAAAGCGUGGGGAGCGAACAGGGUUAGAUACCCUGGUAGUCCACGCCGUAAACGAUGGAUACUAGGUAUGGGGAGUAUCGACCCUUUCCGUGCCGAAGCUAACGCUUUAAGUAUCCCGCCUGGGGACUACGGCCGCAAGGUUA